ACCUGGCUGGCUCAGUUGGUAGAGCAUGUGAUUCUUAGUUUUGUGGUUUUGAGUUCGAGCCCCAUGUUGGGUG
rnacentral:tRNA from 1 species